UAAGGAAUAUUGGUCAAUGGACGCAAGUCUGAACCAGCCAUGCCGCGUGGAGGAUGAAGGUCCUCUGGAUUGUAAACUUCUUUUAUCUGGGAAGAAAUCCAUAUUUUCUAAUGUGGUUGACGGUACCAGAUGAAUAAGCACCGGCUAACUCCGUGCCAGCAGCCGCGGUAAUACGGAGGGUGCAAGCGUUAUCCGGAUUCACUGGGUUUAAAGGGUGCGUAGGCGGGUUGAUAAGUCCGUGGUGAAAUCUCCGAGCUUAACUCGGAAACUGCCGUGGAUACUAUUGAUCUUGAAUAUCGUGGAGGUAAGCGGAAUAUGUCAUGUAGCGGUGAAAUGCUUAGAUAUGACAUAGAACACCAAUUGCGUAGGCAGCUUACUACACGAUCAUUGACGCUGAGGCACGAAAGCGUGGGGAGCAAACA
rnacentral:rRNA from 1 species